GUGGGAAUCUUCCGCAAUGGACGAAAGUCUGACGGAGCAACGCCGCGUGAGUGAAGAAGGUUUUCGGAUCGUAAAGCUCUUUCGUUAGGGACGAACGUGCUCUUUGUGAAUAAUGAGGAGUAAUGACGGUACCUAAAUAAGAAGCCACGGCUAACUACGUGCCAGCAGCCGCGGUAAUACGUAGGUGGCAAGCGUUGUCCGGAAUUAUUGGGCGUAAAGCGCGCGCAGGCGGGAUAUCAAGUCUGUCUUAAAAGUGCGAGGCUCAACCUCGUGAGGGGACAGAAACUGGUAUUCUUGAGUGUCGGAGAGGAAAGUGGAAUUCCAAGUGUAGCGGUGAAAUGCGUAGAGAUUUGGAAGAACACCAGUGGCGAAGGCGACUUUCUGGACGAUGUCUGACGCUGAGGCGCGAAAGCUAGGGGAGCGAACGGGAUUAGAUACCCCAGUAGUCC
rnacentral:rRNA from 1 species